GAUGAACGCUGGCGGCGUGCCUAAUACAUGCAAGUCGAGCGAACAGACGAGGAGCUUGCUCCUUUGACGUUAGCGGCGGACGGGUGAGUAACACGUGGAUAACCUACCUAUAAGACUGGGAUAACUUCGGGAAACCGGAGCUAAUACCGGAUAACAUGUUGAACCGCAUGGUUCAACAGUGAAAGACGGUCUUUCUGUCACUUAUAGAUGGAUCCGCGCCGCUUUAGCUGGUUGGUAAGGUAACGGCAUACCAAGGCAACGAUGCGUAGCCGACGUGAUAGGGUGGGCGGCCACACUGGAACGGAGACACGGUCCAGACUCCUACGGGAGGCAGCAGUAGGGAAUCUUCCGCAAAGGGCGAAAGCCUGACGGAGCAACGCCACGUGAGUGAAGAAGGUCUUCGGAUCGUAAAACUCUGUUAUUAGGGAAGAACAAAUAUGUAAGUAACUAUGCCCGUCUUGACGGUACCUAAUCAGAAAGCCACGGCUAACUACGUG
rnacentral:rRNA from 1 species